ACUCCUACGGGAGGCAGCAGUCGAGAAUCAUUCACAAUGGGGGAAACCCUGAUGGUGCGACGCCGCGUGGGGGAGCGAAGGUCUUCGGAUUGUAAACCCCUGUCAAGUGGGAGCAAAUUAAAAAGAUAGUACCACUAGAGGAAGAGACGGCUAACUCUGUGCCAGCAGCCGCGGUAAU
rnacentral:rRNA from 1 species